rnacentral:lncRNA from 1 species
GAACACCUAGUACAUCCAUGACAUAGUUUAAAAAUAAUAUGAAAGCAACAAUAGUGAGACAAAAACUCAUUUGCUUUCUGUGGUCAAAUGGGAUGGGCCACCAAACCAGGGAUGGUCAUCUGCCUCCCUCCCUUCAGGAGGAUGAGUCUGGUCCCCCAGAGAUCGAGGUUACCAAGUGUUAAGGAUGGCUAGGUUGGCAAAAAGGGAACUGCCAGCCUCUGCACUUCAGCCUCAGAGCUCUGCUUAACUUGAGUUAAAGGCCUCUUGUCUCAAUAAGAGGAACUGAAGCUGAGUCAGCUGACUUGUGAAUUGAAAGUCUGCAUUAAUGUGGCCUUCAAAACAACC